UACGGAGGGUGCGAGCGUUGUCCGGAAUCACUGGGCGUAAAGGGCGCGUAGGUGGCUUGGCAAGCGUGUGGUGAAAGCCCGGGGCUCAACCCCGGGUCUGCCGUGCGAACUGCUAUGGCUUGAGCACUGUAGAGGCAGGUAGAAUUCCGGGUGUAGCGGUGGAAUGCGUAGAGAUCCGGAAGAAUACCGGUGGCGAAGGCGGCCUGCUGGGCAGUGGCUGACACUGAGGCGCGACAGCGUGGGGAGCAAACAGG
rnacentral:rRNA from 2 species